GACGUAGGGGGCGAGCGUUGUCCGGAGUUACUGGGCGUAAAGCGCUUGUAGGCGGUCCACCAAGUUUGGGGUGACAGUUGCCGACUUAAUCGGCAAAGUGCCUCAAAGACUGGCGGACUUGAGGGCCACAGAGGGACAUGGAACUCCAGGUGUAGUGGUGAAAUGCGUAGAUAUCUGGAAGAACACCAAAGGCGAAGGCAGUGUCCUGGGUGGUCGCUGACGCUGAGAGGCGAAAGCCAGGGGAGCGAACGGG
rnacentral:rRNA from 1 species